rnacentral:pre_miRNA from 10 species
GCUCGGAUGGAUAUAAUACAACCUGCUAAGUGUACUACCACUUACCAGGUUGUAUUAUUAUCGUCCGUGUU